AAAAAAUUAGUUAAAAUAUAACAUUAGUAUGUCAAACUAAAAUUAUUAUGAUUAUAAUAUUUUUUA
rnacentral:tRNA from 1 species